rnacentral:misc_RNA from 1 species
ACUCUCAUUCUUUCUUUCUCAUUUUUCCUCUCUCUCUUUCGAUUGUCACUCUCCCCUCCGCCCUUCUCUUCAUCCGUCUUCUUCUCAUAUCUUCUUUUCCCUUCCUCUCGCACCUCCUUUUCGUUGAACAAUCCGUCAAAACGAGUGAGAGAAGUUGUGUUGCCCCGUCGAGACUUCGUCGAUCGCUAGCUGUGCCAUCAAGACUUAAAAGACGUAAAAAAGGAAAAAACCAAUCGCAUAAAGAGGAUCUAAGAGAAGAUCUAAGAAAUCGAAGAGGAGACAACGGAAUCGGAAUCCGUAGGACGCGCUUAUCCCUCCAAAGGGUGAACGAAGAUCGACGUGACCACCACUAUUAGUAGUAGCAGCAGCAGCAGCAACAGCAGCGGCGGCGGCGACGACGCGAUGUCUCUGGAGCCUGUGACAAGUGACAAGCAGCCGCCGUCGUCGACAACGGUGACAACGACGACAACGACGACGACGAUGACGGCGAUGUCGACGACUACAACUACGGCGACCACGGCCGCGAUCACGACGACGACGAUGACGACGACGACUACGGCUCCAGCAACUGCGACGACGGCGGUGGCGACGACGACGACGACGACGACGACGACGACCACGACGACGACGACGACGGUGAAGAAGAAGAAGAAUGAGGGAGAUGAAGCGAUUAUAUCGAUGUCGGUAGCCGGAGAGGUGACUGAUACUUCGAUCAUGGAAAUCGGCCGUUCUAGACCUCAGUUUCAAUAUUCUCGGGAAGAGCUGAUGCUGAUAAAGAAUCUGCGAUUGUCCAAACGUAGGCCUGCAUUUUUAGACGUCGCUUACAACAGCUCACGAGGCGUCUGGGAUCCCGAGCGUUGGCACUCGGACAGAAAGCGCAGUGAUACACCCCCGAAAGAAGAAAAGACUGGACGUGGUGAUCAAAUCACUGAGAAUCAUAGCAAGCGACGCAGCAAUGGCGACCCGCGAGACCGAAUACGCAAGGAGCAAGACGGCAUCGUCUUGAGCCCGCAACGGAGGAGUUUUAACUCUGGGUGUUUCGUCAACGUGAAUCAGCCGGCGAAUCGACGUCCCGAGAGCCCGAUUGGCAAAACGGAGGUCAGCCAUCGAGAACCCGUCCGUCGAAUCGGCAGCGGAAGAAUCCUGACGCGGGAUAUAUGGGACUUCAGGUCUGAAAAUGAAAAGAUCGAACCGGAGCGCGCGGAUUACGGCUUCAGAUCGGGCAGCGGUGUCGGUGGUUCUAUGCGCGAUCGUGACAAUCGAGAUAAUCGCGAUGGAAAGGAGCGAGACAAUAUCAUGCGGGACAGGGAUCGCGAUCGCGACAACCUGCGCGAACGGGACGAGAGAUUCGAGCGGCGAUCGUUCGGCCGUGAUUACGGGGAGCGCGAGAGAGAGCGCGACCGCGACCGAGGUGUGGAACGUAACGAGCGCAACCACCAGGUCCAGGAGCGCGACAAAGAUCGCGGGCGCGACAAGAGAUUCGGCAAUGACCGUCGGCGGACUUACAGUGACAAUCGUGAUUCGGACGAGCCCGAAUGGUUCAGUUCCGGACCGACGUCUCAGCACGACACGAUUGAGUUAAGAGGCUUCGAGGACAUUCCGGAGGAGAAGGCGGUGAACAGCGGCGGUAACUCCAGCAACAGCAAGAACAAGAAGCAGACCUUGGCGCAGAAGAAACGGGCCAAGAAGAACGCCACGGAGAAGGAGGAGAAGCCGAGCGAAAGCAACUCGUCCGGCCCGAAGGGCCGCAGCACCCCGACCGCCAUGGACCAGUCGAUAAACGCAGUACCAGCUCCGCAUUCCCCGAUCUCCGAGCAGGCUGAGCAGUCGUCCACCGCGCAGAAGGAGAACGACGUCAGCGAGAGUAUCGUAAACGAGCCGAUAUCGGAAACGACGGAGACCUCCACCGCCAAUCAGCAUCGAGAGGAUUCGCAUCCCGAUUUCAAUCUGGAUGAGUUCCUGAAAUCCGACACGUUCCCUGGCGUCUCAGGAUUGUUAACGAACGGAGUUGGCUCGAACGGCGGUACCUGUUCCCGUUUCAGUCAAUGGUUUAAGAGAGAAAGUCCAGUUCAGCAAGCAGACAGUCGCAGAGCUUCCAUACAUGACGAGUUACUCAACAAUCUAUUGAACGAUAUCACGGAGCCAAAUAUUCAAAUACCAUCGGUAACGGAAUCGAACGCUUACUUCACUCCAAUUUCUCCGGCCAACACGACGAAUAAUACAAACGCUGCUACGACCGGCGUCAAGUUACUCGAGAUGUUGCAUCGCGGCAAUAAGCCGAAUCAAAACGGCCAAGGGGACGCGGUUAACUCGAUGGCGCCUCUGGUGAAGAACUGCACCAUCAAGGAUCUGGAAGUUGGUGGAAAAGUUGUGCACAGUUUGGAAGAAUUAGAAGCACGCAUGCGGGGCGGCGCUCCUCCACCUGUAACCUCGACUGAAACGCCCCGUGUAAAUAAGACUGAAGAAGAUCUCUCUGCUUUUAAGAAACUGCUUGCUCAAGUAAACGGAGGACAAGCUGUACCUGCAGCUAACGGACCUAUCGCACAGAAACCACCUAUAACGUUAAUGCAGCUACUUAAUUCUCAACUGAAGACUCAACCACCAAUGCCGCAUCAACAGCCCCCAGCGCCUGCGGAACCAAUCCAUCCGUCAACAUUCAAUCAUGUCGGUCCACUUGGUCCCACUCAACACUCGCAUCAGGCCCAGAUGCAACAUGAGAAUCUAAUAAAAGUUUUGCAAAUACAACAGCAGCAGCAGCAACAACAGCAGCAGCAGCAACAACAACAACAACAACAACAACAUCAACAUCAUCAUCAUCAUCAGCAACAGCAACAGCAACAGAAACAACGACACUCUGAUAUGCUGUCGAUGAUGAUGGGCGGACAGCGAAUAUUAGGUGUGAGUCCUGUACCAACGGAUAUGCAGAUGAUGUUGAAUAAUAUCCCCUCGAGUCAAGAGCUUCUACAACGACCGGAAGCUCAAGCGAUUAUUCAGGGUCUACAGCAGGGGGAAAUCACUAGGCAACAUCUCAUACAGCAGUUACAAAAUCCCGUCAUGCAGCAUCGCCAUCGAGAAGUAUUGGUGAAUAUUUUGAAAAUGUACGGUGGUACUACGCCACGUACCGCGAGUCCACAUCCGCAUCCCGCCGCCCCCACACCGCAGGAUCACAUGCUGCAGCAGAUGCUGUAUCAACAGCAGCAACAAAGAAUCCCAUCUCCUAUGAACAAUGCUUAUUGUCCACCUCCAAUAAUAUCACCAAAUUUGGCAGCUAGUCCUAGUACUUUAACAGUACAGCACCCAGUGAUACCGCAUAGAGUGCCGUCGCCACGGGAGAUCGUUAUGCACACUCAAUCUAUAAUACAAAAUGUUUUAAUCAAGAAAAAAUUGGAGGAGCAGCGCGAGAAUUAUCGCAAGCGGCAGGACCAGCAACAACAACAACAACAGCAGCAGCAGCAGCAGCAGCAAGUUCAGCAACGCUCAUCGAGUCCCAUUAACUCGCCAGCUAAGCAAACAAUGAGUCCGACCCCGCUUGCUUUUACUCCAACAUCCGUUUUACGUAAAAUGACUGCUGAUAAGGAACCUGACGGAAACAGCAAUGACCCAUCGAAAUUGUCCACGCAAACUCAGGCUUCUCAGAUGCAACAAAUGCAAUCUGCAGUUCAGCUACUUGCACAGGGAGUCCUCCCGAGACACACGACGAUGCGGCCACAAUCUGCUCAAUCGACAUGGUCGAAUCCAUCUCUUAAGCAACAUCCAGGACGACCUAUAGUAAAAGGUGGCAAGAGUAACAAUACGAACAGCACUCAGUUCCAGUACACGGGAAAUGCGGAAUUCCAACAACAGCAACAACAUAGGACAGCGUCGAAUGUGUACGGCAAUCCGGCACGAUCUAAGCACACGAUGGCCACUUCCUUGCCGCAUCACAACGUUUCGCAAUACAACGUACCACAGAGCUCAAUGAUGAAUCAGAGGUCAAAUUCUAUAAAUACCCAAAUGAAGACCCAACAGCAAGUCCCGUCGCAUCUCGCUAACAUGCAACAACAACCGCCUCAUGGAGCUGCCAGCAUGCAACAACAACCGCCUCAACGAACUGCUGUGAAUACGCAACUUGCAACAAAGAUGCAACUUGUCGUGAACCAAAACUAUAAUUCCAAUCGUACAGGUGCUUGUCGUCUUCCAAAUCAAAUUGCAUGCAACGAUGUUCAGAAAUCGGAAUAGUAGCAAGCCUCUAUUAUUAGCCCUCUCGUUUAACCCUGUCUUGACAUAAUUUACGUUUGGAUUAAACUAAAUGGACGUGCAAUGCGAUCGCAGCAAUUGAACCUUGCUGUCGGCCGUCAAUCCUCGCCGGGUCUUGGAUUCGUGGGCAGUAACGGCGGUGAUCUGUCGCCGACGUCGAAUCAACUCGCUCGAUGGUUCAGUCCAGAACUCCUCGCUAAAGCACGGGCCG